rnacentral:rRNA from 1 species
GACGAACGCUGGCGGCGUGCUUAACACAUGCAAGUCGAACGGAAAGGCCCUGCUUUUGUGGGGUGCUCGAGUGGCGAACGGGUGAGUAACACGUGAGUAACCUGCCCUUGACUUUGGGAUAACUUCAGGAAACUGGGGCUAAUACCGGAUAGGAGCUCCUGCUGCAUGGUGGGGGUUGGAAAGUUUCGGCGGUUGGGGAUGGACUCGCGGCUUAUCAGCUUGUUGGUGGGGUAGUGGCUUACCAAGGCUUUGACGGGUAGCCGGCCUGAGAGGGUGACCGGCGACAUUGGGACUGAGAUACGGCCCAGAAUCCUACGGGAGGCAGCAGUGGGGAAUAUUGCACAAUGGGCGGGAGCCUGAUGCAGAAACGCCGCGUGCGGGAUGACGGCCUUCGGGUUGUAAACCGCUUUCGCCUGUGACGAAGCGUGAGUGACGGUAAUGGGUAAAGAAGCACCGGCUAACUACGUG